GCCCGAGUGUCGGAACCGGCAGACGAGACGGUCUCAAAAACCGUUGUCCUUUGGACGUGUGAGUUCGAGUCUCACCUCGGGCACCA
rnacentral:tRNA from 1 species